rnacentral:antisense_RNA from 1 species
AACUUUCCUUAUGGUCAUCUUUGGGUGGAGCUACCACUUCCAGUUCUGAUCUUCUGCAUCUGGUUGAGGACCUGGGCUUGCCAGUGCACCCCCCAAGAACACCGCCUAGUCCAGGGCUCCCACAUGUCUCAGACUGACAGGAGACUGGGUCAUAUGACCGGCACUAGCCAAUGAGCUGUGAGGACAUGUGAGCACAGGUCCAGCUAGGCUGGGUCAUAUGACAAGCAUUAGCCAAUGAGCUGUGAGGACACGUGAGUACAGGUCCAGCUAGGCUGGGACAUGUGACUGGCACUGGCCAAUGGGUUGUGAGCACAGGUCAGGUCAGCCCCUUCCUGCUGCUUCCCACUGUGUGUGCUCCUUGUCUGACUUGAUAUGAGAACUAACCCAAUAUGGCAGGAAGCCACUAACAUGUGGGAGCCGUGCAUGGCAGUGGCCAGCGUCCUUGCCCUGCGGGGGCGCUGCGGACAUCACUCGCCUUCAGAACACUGAGCCCUCCUACCUCCUGAUAUCCAGGGCUGCCGAUGGGAAAUCCCAGGCUGCCGCGGCUCCUGUGUGCUUUGAAGUUUUCAGGAUUUUUGUCAAACAUCGGGGACGCUUAGCUGGAGAGGAUGGCAUGGGUGACACGCAGCUGGCCAGGGUGCGCGACUCUGCUCUCAAGACCCCCUGGAGACCCGCCCCCUGCCCCCCACCAGCUCAUUCGUUAGAUGAUUGGAAGUGACUGCCUACGUCUUCUUUCAGGAUAAAGCCUCAAGUCCUGCAACUAUU